rfam:Brachypodium distachyon strain Bd21 chromosome 4, whole genome shotgun sequence.
AAAAUACUCUCUCCGUCCAACAAAAAAUGUCUCAAGUUUGUCAAAAUUUGAACGUAUCUAAACAUGACUUAGUGUAUAGAUGCAUUUAAAUUUAGUCAAAGUUGAGAACAUCUUUUGUUGGAUGGAGAAAAUAUGAG